ensembl:snRNA U6 U6 spliceosomal RNA
GUGCUCACUUCAGCAGCAUGUAUACUAAAAGUGGAAUGAUACUGAGAUGAUUAGCAUGGCUCCUGUGCAAGGAUGACACACAAAUUCAUGAAGCAUUCCAUAUUUUU